rnacentral:sRNA from 12 species
AGAUAUGUUCGUAGAGCCACGAACAGGAUAAUCAAAAGAAAUAUUCAAUAAGA